AGGCAUCACCAGGGAGAUGAUGAAGAAGGGCAGCCAACACACAAUAAAUGCUCCUAAAAUGAUCCCUAGGGUCUUGGUGGCUUUGCGCUCCCUAGCGGCCAUGAGUUUCUUCUUUUCCAGCAGGGCGUCUGAGACUCGCACUUUGACUUGGUUCACGUACACAGGAGACCCGGACUCACUGGGCACGUCCGGAGCCCGGGAGUUAAUGGAGGUGACCGAGGAUGUGGAUCCCGGGGAGUCUGUUAUCAACUGGGCUCGGGUCAAGCGCUUGCCGGUCUUGUUGGGUGUCUGUUUCAAAAUCCGAGAGCGGGCUUCCACAUAGAUGCGGCCAUAGAGGGCGAUGAGGAGCAGGGUGGGUAAAUAGAAAGCGCCCACCGUGGAGUAGACCGUGUAGAGGACGUGGUCGGUGUUCACAAAGCAGUCCAGCAUCUCCUCCUCUGCUUUGGCUUGACGCCAGAAGAAGGGUGGCAACGAAAUAGAGAUGGAGAAGACCCACACCAGCACGAUCAUGAUGGCCGCCCUUUUGGGAGUCCUUUUAGCAGAAUACUCCACCGCAUCGGUGAUGGCCCAGUAGCGGUCCAGGGCGAUGACACAGAGAUGCAUGAUGGAAGCAGUGCAACAGGUGAUAUCCGACGACAGCCAGAAGUCGCAGACCACCUGGCCUAGUGUCCAGCGUCCAGUGACCGUGUACAUGGUGCUGAUGGGCAUCACCAGGAUGGACACGAGCAGCAUUUCAAAGCAAAACUCCUGCAAGUACCAUUUACAAGAAGGAUCUACGCGAGGCACAAAGCAAAUCUCAAGCAAACUGAAACUGACAGUUAAUCAAAAAAGAUGAUUAAGAAAAUAACCGUAAUCAAAGGAAAUAACUUCUCCAUCAACAAUCAGCAUACGCCACGACUGCAAGCUCCUGCUGCCUGCACCUCCUUGCCAUGAUGGACUGUACCUUGAACCCUGUGCUGAAAGAAGCCUGUUCUUUCAUAAGUUGCUUUCAUCAGAGUAUUAUGUCACAGCAACAGAAGAGAAACUAGGACAGCAUAAAUAAAGUUACAUUUCAUAAAUUUGCCAGCACCCAAAUCUAACUCAACCCUCCCAAGUAUACAGAGCCAUGUUCUAUCUUGUCCUUGUCAAAUACCCCUGUCUUUCUCUCAGGUACUUCCAAAGGCUGAUGGCUGACACCUUGGCAACAAAAAUGUAUAACUACAUUGUCUUGGUUCAUUCUUCACUCAGUAGAUUAUUGCUUUGGAUCCUAAAUGCCAAUAUUUUUUCUGUAUAUAUUAAAUGAAAAGGUCUAAGACAGUGAUGACUUCUCUUGUUAGAAAAGUUUACUUUUCUGCCAAAUGUAUACUCUAUUUUCAGUAUUAGAGUAUGCUUUUAUUAUGUCUAUUUUUUUCUCUACUACCGCUUGACUAUAACAGACUAGUUAUGUGAAUUUGUCCUAACGUAGUAAAUUUUAAGGCU
ensembl:antisense D430036J16Rik RIKEN cDNA D430036J16 gene